AUGCAGAGGUGGCGGAAAUGGAGGUGGUGUCGUGUUGUACUCUCCUGGCCUGUGUUGCCCCAGUCUCAGUCUUGUUCGACACCCUCUGUCUCUUUGGACUCUGUUUCCGGUCAGGUGAAAUAUCCUGCUAUUAUGGGAAAAUUAGUCUACCUGCUCAUUUUCUUUUAUGUUUCUGGACUACACUUUCUGUCCGCAUCACCUGUGGUCCAUUUUGUUCAGGCUGGACAAAAUGCUUCCCUGUCAUGCAACCUCACAACCAGUAAAGAAAUAAUCUGGCUCCAAAUGCGCUCAGAGGAACUUGUUAUCCUUUUAACUGUUAACAAGGCAUCACAUUUUCUAAAUACUUCAGCAGUUAAUGAGGAAAUCAUGGGUCACUUUGACACAAAGGAAAACAACAGUUUGGAGAUCAUUGUGGUGACAGAAGCAGAUUUGGGACUGUACUACUGUGCUGAUCGCUACCAUGGGACAAUGCGAUUUGGAAAAGGCAUCCGUCUGACUUUUGCAGGUAUGUGGGUGGUCAUCAUUAUAUAGUCAAAUAUGUAUUUGGCCCAGGCUAAGAAAUGCAUUAGCUUGUCUAGUGUACUGAAUAGAUACCUUUAUAAUGGGGUCUCAGAAGCUUGAGUUUCAAAUUCAGACAGAGGUCAGGUCACUGGGUACACAGGGUAUUCAGAUAUUGUCAGGUAUGCGUAAAUGGUUGUAAGGGAGUCAGGUGCAGAAGAGCAGAUAUGGUGUAGCCAACGGAGCCUUUUGUUUUGGCGAACCAAAAACACACGGCAAAGAAAACACGAAAUAACAAUACGGGUUAACAUAACCCAGCGCAACAGACUAACGUGCGCAAUACAUGAAACAGAAUAAACAAUACCACACAAAGACAUGAGGGAAACAGAGGGUUAAAUACGCAACACAUAAUGAGUGCAUUGAGAAAAUUGUGUGGGAAAACAAGACAAGACAAAUGGAAAAUGAAAAAUGGAUUGGCGAUAGCUAGAAGAACGGCGACGUCGACCGCCGAACAAGGAGAGGCAUCGACUUCGGCAGAAGUCUUGACAGAUAUAUAAAAAUGGUAUGUAUGUACUGUAUACUGAACAAAAAUAUAAACGCAACAUGUAGUGUUGGUCCCAUGUUUCAUGAGCUGAAAUUAAAGAUCCCAGAAAUGUUCCAUACACACAAAAAGCUAAUCUCUCUCCAAAUUUGUGCAGAAAUUUGUUUACAUCCUUUUACGAAGAUAAUUCAUCCACCUGACAGAUGUAGCAUAUCAAGAAGCUGAUUAAGCAGCAUGGUCAUUGCACAGGUGCACCUUGUGCUGGGGACAAUAAAAUGUGCAGUUUUGUCACACAACACAAUGCCAGAGAUGUCUAAAAUUGUAGGGGAGAGUGCAAUUAGCAUGCUGACUGCAGGAAUGUCCACCAGAGCUGUUGCCAGAGAAUUUAAUGUUAAUUUCUCUACCAUAAGCCGCCAUCCAAUGUCGUUUUAGAGAAUUUGGCAGUACGUCCAACCGGCCUCACAACCGCAGACCAUGUUUAACCACGCCAGCCCAGAACCUCCGCAUACGGCUUCUUCAUCUGCGGGAUUGUCUGAGACCAACCAUGCAUGUUGCGUUUAUAUUUGUGUUCAGUAUAUAUUCAGAUACCUGAAUAUGUGAUUGGCACGGGCGUCGUAUGAAUUGAACCAAAACGCAGCCGGAAUGUGAAUACACAUCUUCUUUAAUGAAGGAAACCGUAAACACUAAACAAAACAACAACCAUCGACGAGAACGAGUCCUGUCAGGUGCAACUAACACUAAACAGGAAACAACUAC
rnacentral:lncRNA from 8 species